UACUUAUUUACUUCAUGGUCUUAAAUUCAAAUGGUUUCUCCACUUCCAACACGGUUUGGUGGUGUUGACUCACACGGAAGGGGGAAGAUUCGUCGGCGGUGCGGUUGCUGAACAAGUUGUUGUUGAAAAACAUGUCAUACGACCAAUUUGUUGCCUGCAAAGUGUUCGCUAAAAUAUCCAAACCAAUCACUUUUUGAGUUUUUCUUACUUUUAUUUCGAAAACGUUUAGUAUUUGAUUGGUGAAGAGUUUUAGGAUCAUGUGUUUAACAUCUUAUGUAUGUAUUGUAUGUUGUUAAUAGAGGUCAGGAAAGGUUGAUGAAGAGAUCGACGUACUUCAGUCCAAGUUGAAGCAAAUUGAAGACGGUAUGUCAUAAGCAUAAUUGAUGAAAUCUUCUUGCUUGCUCGUCUUUCUUCAUCAGAUGUGGAUGGAUUGUUAGUAAUUUUAUUUGAUUCAAAGUUUUAAGCUUUGUGACACUGUCAACGACUCAAAGAAAAGGCCCUUUUAAGAGGUUGUCUUUGAUUUUUCAAUAUUGCUAUAUUCAAUAAUUCUAUUAGAAAGCCAUAUUUUUCGCGUUUCUAUUUGGAUUAUUCAAGCUUAUUUCUAACUAUAUAUAAAGCAAAGAAAUUUAAUGUUUGUGUUGAAUAUGAUGUCAAAAAAAAUUCGUUUCUCAUGUUGCUGCUACAUAUGAUGAAUAAACCAAUGCACUUAUCACAUAAAACACAAGCUGAUAAUUGACACUUACCAGAUCCAUUGCCGAUUCAGUAUGCUGAUAAUAGUCACUUGAAGCUAUGGGCUUAAGCUAACAAGAUUUUCUACAGCAAAUCACGCAAAACUGUUAGUAUAUAUAAUUGGUGUAUUUGAGUAUUUAGAAAAAACAAUUGGUGCAUUUGUGUUUUUAGCAAAAUAGGUCAUUCCAUCUCUACAACAGCAUGUCUCAUCUCUCACGGGUAAGCUUCAGAGCUUCGCCGAGGAUCUUGCCAAGGUAUAACUUCCAAUCCUUCAGAGAUCACAUUGAAAUUCUGGCACCGGAGCCACACUUUGUCUUAAAGGUAUUUUUCGUGGAACCGGAGCCACACUUUGUCGAGAAAUUCCAUUUUAUGUUGCCGGCAUGGGACUUUAUGCGGAAUCUAAAAAGGGUAUCCAAAAACUUCUAGGACGGGAACUCAAGGCUUGGGAAACAAUUGCAGUUGGAGCUUUAUCUGGUGGCUUAGCGGCUGUGGUUACAACGCAGUUUGAUGUGAUGAAAACUAGAAUAAUGACUGCGCUGAGGCUUUGAAAAGGUUGUGACGUU